AGGGGAACAGUGUUGCAGUAGUCUAGUGUGAGGGGUUAUGGCAGGGGAACAGUGUUGCAGUAGUCUAGUGUGAGGGGGGUUUGGCAGGGGAACAGUGUUACAGUAGUCUAGUGUGAGGGGUUAUGGCAGGGGAACAGUGUUACAGUAGUCUAGUGUGAGAGGUUAUGGCAGGGGAACAGUGUUACAGUAGUCUAGUGUGAGGGGUUAUGGCAGGGAAACAGUGUUACAGUAGUCUAGUGUGAGGGGUUAUAGCAGGGGAACAGUGUUACAGUAGUCUAGUGUGUGUUUUGGGAAUAAUGACAAGCGAACCUGGGAAGUUUUGUGUUCACAUUGGCCUGAAAAAGGAAACCGGACCCUGG
ensembl:lncRNA